UGCAAGUCGAGCGGCAGCGCGGGGCAACCUGGCGGCGAGCGGCGAACGGGUGAGUAAUGUAUCGGAACGUACCCAGUCGUGGGGGAUAACUAUCCGAAAGGAUAGCUAAUACCGCAUACGUCCUGAGGGAGAAAGCGGGGGACCGUAAGGCCUCGCGCGAUUGGAGCGGCCGAUAUCGGAUUAGCUAGUUGGUGAGGUAAAGGCUCACCAAGGCGACGAUCCGUAGCUGGUCUGAGAGGACGACCAGCCGCACUGGAACUGAGACACGGUCCAGACUCCUACGGGAGGCAGCAGUGGGGAAUUUUGGACAAUGGGGGCAACCCUGAUCCAGCCAUUCCGCGUGAGUGAAGAAGGCCUUCGGGUUGUAAAGCUCUUUCAGCAGGAACGAAACGGUGGCCCCUAAUACGGGCUACUAAUGACGGUACCUGAAGAAGAAGCACCGGCUAACUACGUGCCAGCAGCCGCGGUAAUACGUAGGGUGCGAGCGUUAAUCGGAAUUACUGGGCGUAAAGCGUGCGCAGGCGGUUGUGUAAGACAGGUGUGAAAUCCCCGGGCUUAACCUGGGAACUGCGCUUGUGACUGCACGGCUAGAGUACGGCAGAGGGGGGUGGAAUUCCACGUGUAGCAGUGAAAUGCGUAGAUAUGUGGAGGAACACCGAUGG
rnacentral:rRNA from 1 species